CGCGUAGGCGGAUCGUUAAGUCAGAGGUGAAAUCCCAGGGCUCAACCCUGGAACUGCCUUUGAUACUGGCGAUCUUGAGUAUGAGAGAGGUAUGUGGAACUCCGAGUGUAGAGGUGAAAUUCGUAGAUAUUCGGAAGAACACCAGUGGCGAAGGCGACAUACUGGCUCAUUACUGACGCUCAUAUGCGAAAGCGUGGGGAUCAAACAGGAUUAGAUACCCGUGU
rnacentral:rRNA from 1 species